UAUAUUUUAGUGUAAUGCAUAUAAAAUUUUGAAUUUUAUGGUGAUAAAAUUUUUAUUAAAUAUAA
rnacentral:tRNA from 1 species